GAGCCAAGCAGGACCCUGUCCCAGAGCAAGAGAUGUCCCCUUCCAUCUCUGACCCUUGCCUGGGACAAGCCUUGUUGGGGCGCCCCAGCUUCAGGGUUGUGGUGGGAACAGCACCCCCAAAUGCCAGCCUCUCCUUUCUUCCCAUCCACCAGUUCACUGUGGGGCCAUUUCUGGUCUUUGUGCAACAGGAAACCCAUUUCUGGUGGGAGAUGCCUUCCAGUGCCACAGGGCCACUCACCCCAUGCAUCUCUGUCCUGCCCAUCAGUGCUGGGACGGACAGCAAGGGCAAGCCCGGUGUCUGGCGGAUAGGUGGGUGGGAACAGACAGGAGAAUGCUGUCCUAAGCCUCUGCUUGGGGAUCCCCCACACGGCCUGGGUACUGCCUGGGAAACCUGUCCUAAGUAAAACUAUGGGCCUCGCCUCGCCCACUGGCCUACGAAGCCAGCAUCUCCGUGAAGGUGGAUGGAAGCGCCUUUGUCCUCAUUUUGAGCUGCAAGCUGGGUCAGCGGCUUCUGAAGCCCUCAAGUGACUUUCUAACCCAAGACCCAGCCACUGGCAGGAGGAGGGCAGGUGCAGGGCUACUGGGACAAAAAGAGGCCUCAGCAGGCCUGGCAGACCCUUCCAGUACAUCCCAAAGCGUGUCGAGCAGCUGGGAGAACCCGUGUCAAGCUUGACCCAUCACAGGUCCCCAUGAGGUGUCUGAAGCCCCUUCUUGGUGAUGGGAGGCAGAGGUGCUGAUAUUCUGGAGAAUGGACGCGAGUCCUCAGCUGGCUCCGCGUGGGCCCUUGGAGGGUGCAAGGUGUGUGGUGACCUUCUGGAGGCCUUUAACUUCAUGGCUGCAUCAUUCCUGAUUUAGAACUUUAACAGGAGCUUCAUCUAGUGAUUGAAAAACUGGACCAACGGGAGGAUGGCGGCGCAGCCCGGUCCCUCCGUGGAAUGGAGCUCUUCGGAGGCAUCAAAGCACCUGUCGCCGCCGUGGUUCCACUGCCGAGGGAGUGCGGGUUCCGCAAGGUUCGGGGGUGGCUUCGUUUGCCCGGAGUGGCCGGCCCUGCGUGUGCCGUGUGGAUGUUUGCGAGCCUCGGUCCCACAGCACUGUGUAGGCUGCAUCUGUUUCGUGCUGGUCCUGUUGACUUGUAUGAUAUCCACAAAUAAAUAUUUUCAUGGCA